rnacentral:rRNA from 1 species
GACGAGGGGUCCAAGCGUUGUUCGGAAUUAUUGGGCGUAAAGCGGGUGUAGGUGGCUCUAUAAGUCAGAAGUGAAAGCCCCGAGCUUAACUUGGGAAGUGCUUUUGAUACUGUAGAGCUUGAAUGUGGGAGAGGAUCGUGGAAUUCCAGGUGUAGUGGUGAAAUACGUAGAUAUCUGGAGGAACGCCAGUGGCGAAAGCGACACACUGGGUCUCAACUGACGCUGAGGCACGAAAGCCAGGGGAGCAAACGGG